rnacentral:rRNA from 1 species
CCUACGGGAGGCAGCAGUGAGGAAUAUUGGUCAAUGGGCGCGAGCCUGAACCAGCCAAGUAGCGUGAAGGAUGACUGCCCUACGGGUUGUAAACUUCUUUUAUAAAGGAAUAAAGUGAGGCACGUGUGCCUUUUUGUAUGUACUUUAUGAAUAAGGAUCGGCUAACUCCGUGCCAGCAGCCGCGGUAAUACGGAGGAUCCGAGCGUUAUCCGGAUUUAUUGGGUUUAAAGGGUGCGUAGGCGGGCUUUUAAGUCAGCGGUAAAAAUUCGGGGCUCAACCCCGUCCGGCCGUUGAAACUGGGGGCCUUGAGUGGGCGAGAAGAAGGCGGAAUGCGUGGUGUAGCGGUGAAAUGCAUAGAUAUCACGAAGAACCCCGAUUGCGAAGGCAGCUUACUAAACUGUGACUGACAUUGAUGCUCGAAAGUGUGGGUAUCAAACAGGAUUAGAUACCCCUGUAGUC